CGUACCUCUUUUAUUUGGAGAUUUAGUCCGUAGGUUACUGGUCAGAAUUUAUAUUUGUUAAGCCAGCUCUGCAGGCCGUUAGAUCAUAUUUUGAUCUUCAUCACGAGAGAAAUUUCUCUAAUAUCUCUCAUAUCGUAUUGUUAAUCGUGAAUGUCAAGCACAAACUUCACCUGUGUGGCUGGCCUGAUAGAUAGAUCCUGGGAUUAUAGUUGGUGUCACCUCACCAUCUCACCUUGGGCACGCCUUAAUGGAAGAUUGGCUUCAGUCGGCGAAUUUCUUCCGAAAUGAGUAGUGUUUGGUUGAUACAGGAUCAAGCUUAAAUAGAUGGUCUAAUUCACGAAUCCUAUAGAAUUUUCAAUCUAAUCUUAUAAAAAUAUCCAAACAGAUCUCAUAGGAUUUAGAUGCCUAUGAAUUUGUAGGUGAG
rnacentral:lncRNA from 1 species